UUUGGCCUACGGGGCGCAGCAGUGGGGAAUAUUGCACAAUGGGGGGAACCCUGAUGCAGCGACGCCGCGUGGGCGAGGAAGUAUUUCGGUAUGUAAAGCCCUAUCGGCAGGGAAGAAGAAAUGACGGUACCUGAAUAAGAAGCACCGGCUAAAUACGUGCCAGCAGCCGCGGUAAUACGUAUGGUGCAAGCGUUAUCCGGAUUUACUGGGCGUAAAGAGAGCGCAGGCGGCGCGCCAAGUCUGAUGUGAAACCCCGUGGCUCAACCCCGGGCAUGCAUUGGAAACUGGCGGUCUGGAGUGCCGGG
rnacentral:rRNA from 1 species